GGUGGCGGCUGAACGGAAAUGAAAUCAAAUCGCACAGCUGCAGCCGGCGGCAAUAACACCGUUUGUGAGUUAUGGCCAAUGUUAAUUAAAAGCCAAGUGCCCAACUAGAGCUACACAUAAAUCAAUCUGGAUUGAGAGUUGGCACAACAUGCAGAACUGGCAUGCCAAUAUACCCCUGUCAAUGCCUAUUUACAUGGCCAGUGAAAAAUGGCCAUCAGAGGAGAGAGCAAAUAAUACCUGGCCAAGAGAAACGAAAACAAUCCAAAACGAAAUGACAUAAAGCGGCUUAC
rnacentral:sRNA from 1 species